rnacentral:rRNA from 1 species
GACGAACGCUGGCGGCGUGCUUAACACAUGCAAGUCGAACGCUGAAGCUUGGUGCUUGCACUGGGUGGAUGAGUGGCGAACGGGUGAGUAAUACGUGAGUAACCUGCCCUUGACUCUGGGAUAAGCCUGGGAAACUGGGUCUAAUACUGGAUAUGACAUGCCACUGCAUGGUGGUGUGUGGAAAGGGUUUUACUGGUUUUGGAUGGGCUCACGGCCUAUCAGCUUGUUGGUGGGGUAAUGGCCUACCAAGGCGACGACGGGUAGCCGGCCUGAGAGGGUGACCGGCCACACUGGGACUGAGACACGGCCCGGACUCCUACGGGAGGCAGCAGUGGGGAAUAUUGCACAAUGGGCGGAAGCCUGAUGCAGCGACGCCGCGUGAGGGAUGACGGCCUUCGGGUUGUAAACCUCUUUCAGCACGGAAGAAGCGAGAGUGACGGUACGUGCAGAAGAAGCGCCGGCUAACUACGUG